AUUGAACGCUGGCGGCAUGCUUUACACAUGCAAGUCGAACGGUAACAGGCCGCAAGGUGCUGACGAGUGGCGAACGGGUGAGUAAUGCAUCGGAAGGUGCCCAGUCGUGGGGGAUAACGCAGCGAAAGCUGUGCUAAUACCGCAUACGAUCUAUGGAUGAAAGCGGGGGACCGUAAGGCCUCGCGCGAUUGGAGAGGCCGAUGUCAGAUUAGGUAGUUGGUGGGGUAAAGGUUCACCAAGCCAACGAUCUGUAGCUGGUCUGAGAGGACGACCAGCCACACUGGGACUGAGACACGGCCCAGACUCCUACGGGAGGCAGCAGUGGGGAAUUUUGGACAAUGGGCGCAAGCCUGAUCCAGCAAUGCCGCGUGCAGGAAGAAGGCCUUCGGGUUGUAAACUGCUUUUGUACGGAACGAAAGGGUUUGGGUUAAUACCCUGGGCCGAUGACGGUACCGUAAGAAUAAGCACCGGCUAACUACGUGCCAGCCGCCGCAGUAA
rnacentral:rRNA from 1 species